rnacentral:lncRNA from 1 species
CAGCAGCCAGCAGCCGUGCGUCGAGGUCGCCACUUGAGCUCGCCUAGCGCCACUCCCACAUUGUUUUUGUUUGAGCCCGUCCCCGUGCGUCGACCGCCGGUGCAGCUCGAUCCCGGAGGACCGUAGCAGAUGGACCUGAGAGAGGGAGCAAAGCAUUACGAGGUGCUGCCCAGUCCCCACAUCCGUUGCUAGUUCUCUCUCAUCCAACUUCUAGCCGAAUCCGAAAUGGAUCCACGCUACAGGCAAUAGGCCCUUGAGGCCGGCGAGGCAAACAGAGCAGACAUUGGAUGAGCCAUCACAAACGGCGGCAUUGAAGGGCCAGGCGGAGAGCAAGGAGACCAGGAAGGUUCACUGCUCCUGCUGUUGUCUUGUUCUGAAUAUGUGCAUCGACUGAAUUGGAUAGAGACCAUUCUCUCGUAUUUCUUCAAGAAUCAUUUCCCAUGUGUCCCGAUCCUUGAUAAAGAACCAAUAAGGAAUAUAUGCAAAGAAUACAGUAUUGUCUUUGUACAUCUUAUGUGCAGAACGAAGCACAUGCCACAAGCAGAACAUCUUUGAGCUAAAGAGAUCAAACUAAAGAAAAA